rnacentral:piRNA from 1 species
UGCUGAUGGAUAAAGAUUUCUGUAAAUGUC